AUGGCCCUUGGCUCCUUAAUAUGUCAACUGCCCUGCUGCAAACUGGUUCAAGCCAAAUUACUCCACCCCAAUUCUCGAAAGUUGCCCUGCAUCCAAAACCAAUACAAGACAUUUCAAAACAUUACUUCAACUAAACCACAAAUCUUCCCUGCGUUCACUAAUCUUAACAAUGCCCUGACAAUUUCUCUACCAACCAAAACAGUUCCAAAACCCUUGCCAAAACUUGCACCAAACUUGAAUAAAAAGAAAC